AGUGGACGCUGGCGGUAGGCCUAACACAUGCAAGUCGAACGGCAGCACAGUAAGAGCUUGCUCUUACGGGUGGCGAGUGGCGGACGGGUGAGGAAUACAUCGGAAUCUACUUUUUCGUGGGGGAUAACGUAGGGAAACUUACGCUAAUACCGCAUACGACCUACGGGUGAAAGCAGGGGAUCUUCGGACCUUGCGCGAUUGAAUGAGCCGAUGUCGGAUUAGCUAGUUGGCGGGGUAAAGGCCCACCAAGGCGACGAUCCGUAGCUGGUCUGGGAGGAUGAUCAGCCACACUGGAACUGAGACACGGUCCAGACUCCUACGGGAGGCAGCAGUGGGGAAUAUUGGACAAUGGGCGCAAGCCUGAUCCAGCCAUACCGCGUGGGUGAAGAAGGCCUUCGGGUUGUAAAGCCCUUUUGUUGGGAAAGAAAAGCAGCAGGUUAAUACCCCGCUGUUCUGACGGUACCCAAAGAAUAAGCACCGGCUAACUUCGUG
rnacentral:rRNA from 1 species